rnacentral:rRNA from 1 species
GAUCAACGCUGGCGCCGUGCCUAAUACAUGCAAGUCGAGCGAACAGACGAGGAGCUUGCUCCUCUGACGUUAGCGGCGGACGGGUGAGUAACACGUGGAUAACCUACCUAUAAGACUGGGAUAACUUCGGGAAACCGGAGCUAAUACCGGAUAAUAUAUUGAACCGCAUGGUUCAAUAGUGAAAGACGGUUUUGCUGUCACUUAUAGAUGGAUCCGCGCCGCAUUAGCUAGUUGGUAAGGUAACGGCUUACCAAGGCAACGAUGCGUAGCCGACCUGAGAGGGUGAUCGGCCACACUGGAACUGAGACACGGUCCAGACUCCUACGGGAGGCAGCAGUAGGGAAUCUUCCGCAAUGGGCGAAAGCUUGACGGAGCAACGCCGCGUGAGUGAUGAAGGUCUUCUGAUCGUAAAACUCUGUUAUUAGGGAAGAACAAAUGUGUAAGUAACUAUGCACGUCUUGACGGUACCUAAUCAGAAAGCCACGGCUAACUACGUG